ensembl:lncRNA
AGCAAACAAAUGAAAACAACACCAAAAAAGGGGGUAGGGAGAGAAAAAGGAAGCAAAACCAAAAAGAAAGCCAGCCUGCAAAUGUAAAUGCACCAGCUACGUGCCAAGUGAAGGUGCUGAUGCUGUGAUAAGCCUUCAGGUCUGCAAAGUUUGCUGGGAAGAAAAAAGGGAUUCACGUCCAUAGGGGAUCAGAGCGCUGCUCUGACGUUGCUAUUUUUCUUUCAGCUUGGAAGGUCCUUCCCCUGCUCUCCCCCACUGGAUUCAAACCAGGCAGUGAAGCCAGGUCUGUUCCUGGAGCCGUUGGAGGCUCACCGAUGUCUGUCUUCGGACCUCCCUGCUGAUAAAGAUUUAUGUGAUAGGAACAAUUUGGUUGGGGUCAGGAUUUCUCCUCCAUAGAACCCAGGGCUACGUGGGGAGCUGCUGGGAUCCCAGCACAGCCUCUGUCCGGUUUCAGUUACAGCUUGAGGUAUUUUUGCCUCUUCUCUUUGCACGGGAUUUAAAGCUGAGAUAUGCAAACAGAGGCUGUUGUCCACCAAUGUCCUCCAAUGGGCGACUGCUCUCCAGCUCCUUGCAUACAGUAUCUGCACACAGUAGCUUUUGCCUUCUUGCACAAGUAUUUUAAUUGCUAAUUUGCUGGUGUCAUUUAGCUCAGCUUUGGCAUUUAUCACUUGGAUUUAAACUUGUUCAAACCGACGAUUUUCUUGGCUACCUGUGUUAAUAAUUUAAAGGCAAAAGCUCAUCACUAAGUUAUUAUGGGUAAUUAUUUUGUAGCUGGUGUGGAAAUGGUCAUUUCUGCAGCCUUAACGAAUCAUUGAAUCAUAGAAUGGUUUGAAUUGGAAGGGACCUUAAGGACCAUCUGGUCCAACUCCCUGCACUGCACAGGGACACCCACAGCUCCGUCAGUGCUCAGAGCCCCUCCAGCCCUGACCGUGGCUGUCUGCAGGGAUGGAGCACCACCACCUCUCUGGGCAACCCGUGCCAGUGCCUCACACUUACUGUAAAGAACUUCCUUAUGUCCAGUCUACCUCUCCCCUCUUUUAGCGUGGAACCAUUUCCCCUUGCCCCUCCGUCUCUCACCCAGCAGUGCAGCACAGGAGCGCUCUGAUUGCGAUCAUGCAGUCAUCGAAGGGGUCGUCCCCCAAAAGGAUGCUUUGAUUUUCGAUGUGACACCCAGGUAAGCGAUGCUGGCGCAGCCCCGCAGCCUUCCUCAAUUGGAUCUGCACCGCAGUGAAGUCAGCCCCUCCCCGCUCCCACCAGGUGGCUCUCACGUUGCUUCCAUUUCCCUCGGCAGGGCUGAGCAGCUCCGCUAGCCGAGUUUACGUGGGAUGUGAGUUUUCCCAUCGCUUUACUUCGAGACGUGCGGCGUGGAGCCUUGGGGCAAUGCCGGCACCUCCAGCUGCCCCUGCCCCCUGUGUUCUGCCCCUGCUGAGGGGGUCAGCCCCGAAGGUGAGGUGAUGGAGGGCUGUGGAUGGGCACGGCUCGGCGCUGGACAGAGGACCCACAGCUGCACUGAUGGCCAUCCCUGCCCCGGCCCCAACAGUGCCGCACGUGCAAUGCUGUGUGCUUUCCCGGGGGGCUGAAGGUGCUGAAUUAGGCGCUAACGUAUUUUCCUGUUGGAUCACUGUUUGACUCAAGAAAAUAAGAAAGGGCUAUUACUGCCUUCUGACCCGUUGCUUUGACAUUUGAGUUUCAGUUUGCUUAGCGUCAUAACGUUGAGAAAUUCAAACAGCUCUCCAGCUCGCAGAAUUAUGAACGCCUCCAUUUGGCACUGGAAGAAACCAGCCCUGCAUUCUGGAUUUCCUUACGUUCGCAUUUUCCCCAGCCCAGCAGGGUCGUUUUCCCUUUGAGAACAAUACAGGGCUUGGCUCCCCACGCUGUGCCGUGGCUGCAGCAGCUCAGUGCAGGGCAGGGCAGGUUGGUUCAUCCCCAGGAAGGCUCUGCCAGACACGGGGGCUGUACAGCUGUCCCAGCCAUAUGCCCUGCCCUGCCCUGGGCUGCAGAGGGGCCCUCGCUUUGCACUGCUGCAUCUUUGCUGCUGCAGUCUGCACUGAGGAGCUGGAGUUGUUGAAGGGCUUUUCUACUGAUAAAUGGAUGGAAACCCGUAUUUUCAUCUCACGUCAUCAAACAUUCAUCAGAUACUCCUGGUCAGUACCGACAGAGCCAGAUUUGAACUGGUGACCCAGCAGUAAAAGGCCCCGUUAGCGAUUUCCCUGAACCAUCGAGCCAGGGUGUAACACAAAGGCAGUGCCGUGGCGAUUUGUGCCACAGGUGAAAGCAGGUUCUGAUUUCUGUUUGCUGAUGACCGUUACCAAAGCGUUUUGAAGGGGUUCGUGCUCCCGUGUGAUCCAGAAAUAGGAAGAGCAGCACUGCCUGCACCCAUCUCCCCACGUAGGGCAGUGCUGUAUGAACCCGACCCGUUCACAUACGUGGGUGGGGAGAGAGAGCCCCUCUGAGCCCCGGGACCCAAAAACGUCCUCAUGUGGCACUGUGGGACCGUCCUGCGCCCGGUCUGUGCUGUGAUAGUGCUCCCCAUAGGCAGGCAGGCUGCUUUGCCUCACAGUGCUGCUCUGUUCUUUCGCCGGCGAUUUUUAUAUCCCGGUUCUUUCUCUCUUUACAGAAUCAUUUGAAGAAAUAAUGUGUGAGGGGAAAAAAAAAUAUUACCUCCGGCAGUUGUGUUAUAACGGCUCUUGUGCUGACAGCCCUUUGGGAACGGUGGCAGCAGCAGGGUCAACAGCUAUUCCAGACCGACGUGAUGCGGGAGGGACCGGCCUGAUUCACAUCGCCUCAGCCAUCGCUUCCCUCGCAGCAUCUCCCCGGCAGAGCAGAGGUCCUGCUGGAGCCAGGUGGGGCCAUUAAAGGAGCUGUGAACUUUUUACAAGUCGCCUCAAGUGCCCUGGCCUCAAUCCAGCCCCGCUGGUGUUGCUGCGUCUGUUUCGCAGUUGCUCCAUCACACCCCGACAAUGGCUCUGUGUCGGCACUGCAGGAAGUCGCUCCUCCAGCUUUGCAGCGCCUUUUGGGGGGCGGCUGCUGCUUUCUGAGCCCCGCAGUGUGAGGUGUGUGCGGUGUGAGCCUCCCCGCCACCGUCUGCCUGGGAAGCGCGAGCAGCGUUUGUGUGCCAUCCGCAAUGGGCUGAAUGUUUUGGAGAAGAGAUCCUCAGAAGGAACACGGGAGGUGCGUUGGGUCGCCUUCGCUCUGCACAGAGAUAAAGCCAGAGGGAUCCCACAUUCCGAACAAGGCAGAGCCUGAACUUGAACUGCGGGUUGUCCAAAGCUCAGGAGAGAGUUUAAAGAAGAAUGAGGCGGGGAGGAGGAAUGAAAUGCCUCCGGUGGUUGAGCCCUCUCACCUGCCGGAGGACGUCGGGUCCGUCUGUGGCUGGGAAGUCUUUGGAUCAACGCAGGAGUGUGGAUGUAAGAAAAAAUCCUGUGCAAAGCAUCUGUGUUGGGGAGGAUGCGACGAGCGAAACGCUCCCGAGCCCCUUUCUCCACACCAGCAUAAACCACAGCGCUGUCGGUGGCUCUGAGGCUGCCCUAAGCCCAGCGUGGCGUUGUCCCCGCUCUGCUGGCUCUUGGCUGGAGCUGCUGGCACAUCACCUGUGCAUGUGUGUGCGUGCAAGGAAGAAAGUAGGGGGAAGUUGUCCCUGUUGCUGUCACAGUGCUGUCCCCGCCUGGCAGAGGUGCCCUCAGCCCAUGCUGUGCUGCUGCUCCUUCAGCAUCCAGGAAAAGGCAUGGAGAUGGUCCCCCAUUCCCCAUAACAGGUUUGUGCCAACCGCUCAGAAUAUCGAUUCAAACGC